ACUCCUACGGGAGGCAGCAGUGGGGAAUAUUGCACAAUGGGCGCAAGCCUGAUGCAGCCAUGCCGCGUGUGUGAAGAAGGCCUUCGGGUUGUAAAGCACUUUCAGUCGUGAGGAAGGUAGUGUAGUUAAUAGCUGCAUUAUUUGACGUUAGCGACAGAAGAAGCACCGGCUAACUCCGUGCCAGCAGCCGCGGUAAUACGGAGGGUGCGAGCGUUAAUCGGAAUUACUGGGCGUAAAGCGCAUGCAGGUGGUUGUUAAGUCAGAUGUGAAAGCCCGGGGCUCAACCUCGGAAUAGCAUUUGAAACUGGCAGACUAGAGUACUGUAGAGGGGGUAGAAUUUCAGGUGUAGCGGUGAAAUGCGUAGAGAUCUGAAGGAAUACCGGUGGCGAAGGCGGCCCCUGGACAGAUACUGACACUCAGAUGCGAAAGCGUGGGAGCAAACAGGAUUAGAUACCCCUGGUAGACUGUCAU
rnacentral:rRNA from 1 species